rnacentral:lncRNA from 1 species
GAAAAAUAAAUGAACAAAUUGCUUUCAAAUUGUAUUCAAAUCUCUUUCAAAUCGUGAUUCUGCGAUUUGUUAGUACCAUUUGCUUGCGAUUCAUUAAACAAAUCAUAAACAAAUCAGAAUUUUCCAAAUUCCCUAAAACUGAUUUCUUUGCGAUUUCUUUCUAUUGUAUGAUUUGUAAGCAAUUUGUUUCUGGUUUAGUGUGAUUUCUUUAUGAUUUA